UGGAUCCAGACUUUGAUUCUGGCUCAGGACGAACGCUGGCGGCGCGCCUAACACAUGCAAGUCGAACGAGAGAGAGGGAGCUUGCUUCCUUGAUCGAGUGGCGAACGGGUGAGUAACGCGUGAGGAACCUGCCUCAAAGAGGGGGUCAACAGUUGGAAACGACUGCUAAUACCGCAUAAGCCCACGGCCCGGCAUCGGGAAGAGGGAAAAGGAGCAAUCCGCUUUGAGAUGGCCUCGCGUCCGAUUAGCUAGUUGGUGAGGUAACGGCCCACCAAGGCGACGAUCGGUAGCCGGACUGAGAGGUUGAACGGCCACGUUGGGACUGAGACACGGCCCAGACUCCUACGGGAGGCAGCAGUGGGGAAUAUUGCACAAUGGGGGAAACCCUGAUGCAGCGACGCCGCGUGGAGGAAGAAGGUCUUCGGAUUGUAAACUCCUGUUGUUGAGGAAGAUAAUGACGGUACUCAACAAGGAAGUGACGGCUAACUACGUGCCAGCAGCCGCGGUAAAACGUAGGUCACAAGCGUUGUCCGGAAUUACUGGGUGUAAAGGGAGCGCAGGCGGGAAGACAAGUUGGAAGUGAAAUCCAUGGGCUCAACCCAUGAACUGCUUUCAAAACUGUUUUUCUUGAGUAGUGCAGAGGUAGGCGGAAUUCCCGGUGUAGCGGUGGAAUGCGUAGAUAUCGGGAGGAACACCAGUGGCGAAGGCGGCCUACUGGGCACCAACUGACGCUGGGGCUCGAAAGUGUGGGUAGCAAACAGGAUUAGAUACCCUGGUAGUCCACACCGUAAACGAUGAUUACUAGGUGUUGGGAGAUUGACCCUCUCAGUGCCGCAGUUAACACAAUAAGUAAUCCACCUGGGGAGUACGACCGCAAGGUUGCAACUCAAAGGAAUUGACGGA
rnacentral:rRNA from 1 species